rnacentral:rRNA from 1 species
GAGUUUGAUCAUGGCUCAGGAUGAACGCUAGCGAUAGGCCUAACACAUGCAAGUCGAGGGGCAGCAUAGAGUAGCAAUACUUUGAUGGCGACCGGCGCACGGGUGAGUAACACGUAUGCAACCUACCUACAUCAGGGGAAUAACCCGGAGAAAUUCGGACUAAUACCGCAUAAUACAGGGAUGCCGCAUGGCAAUAUUUGUUAAAGAUUUAUCGGAUGUAGAUGGGCAUGCGUUCCAUUAGCUAGUUGGUGAGGUAACGGCUCACCAAGGCAACGAUGGAUAGGGGAACUGAGAGGUUUGUCCCCCACACUGGAACUGAGACACGGACCAGACUCCUACGGGAGGCAGCAGUGAGGAAUAUUGGUCAAUGGACGAGAGUCUGAACCAGCCAAAUCGCGUGAAGGAAGACUGCCCUACGGGUUGUAAACUUCUUUUGUACAGGAAUAAAAGCAUUACGUGUAAUGUAUUGCAUGUACUGUACGAAUAAGCAUCGGCUAACUCCGUG